ACCCCCGAACCCCGGUGACAGUGAUCCCCAGACCUCCCGCUCGGCUCCGCUCCGAACCACGACCUUUCGCCAACAUGGCCCGCCUCGGCCUCCGGCGAUUUCUGCCGCCGAUGCUCCUCCUCGUCCUCUUCGUCGCGGUGGAGGCGGCGGGGAAGGGCGACGGCGGGCUGCGGUUUCGGCGGGAGAACGGCACGUUCAAGGUGCUGCAGGUGGCGGACAUGCACUACGCGGACGGGCGGAGCACACAGUGCAGGGACGUGCUGCCCGCGCAGCGCCCCGCCUGCUCCGACCUCAACACCACCGCCUUCCUCUACCGCCUCCUCCGCGCCGAGGACCCCGACCUCGUCGUCUUCACCGGUGAUAACAUUUUUGGCGAGGAUUCAACCGAUGCGGCCAAGUCGAUGGAUGCGGCGAUCGCUCCGGCCAUUGCCAUGAAACUUCCCUGGGCUGCUGUGCUCGGCAACCAUGACCAAGAGGGUACGCUGUCGCGCGAGGGCGUGAUGCGCCACCUUGUAGGCAUGAAGAACACCCUUGCACGCUUCAAUCCACAAGGAGUAGAAAUCGAUGGCUACGGAAACUAUAAUCUGGAGGUUGCAGGGGUUAAAGGAACACUGCUGGCUAACAAAUCAGUGCUCAACCUGUAUUUUCUUGACAGUGGUGACUAUUCUACUGUGCCAUCGAUUCACGGCUAUGGCUGGAUCAAGGCUUCACAGGAAGCUUGGUUCAAGCAAACCUCUUCGAGUCUCCAGCAAAACUAUACGGGUGGACAACCCAGACAGAAGGAGCCAGCACCUGGUCUUGCUUACUUCCACAUUCCCUUGCCGGAGUUCAACAACUUCACGGCAUCAAAUUUCACAGGAGUAAAGCAGGAGAAUGGUAUCAGCUCGGCGUUGAUCAACUCCGGCUUCUUUAACACCAUGGUGGAAGCUGGAGAUGUGAAGGCUGCCUUUGUAGGACAUGAUCACUUAAACGACUUCUGUGGUAAGCUCGCUGGUAUUCAGCUGUGCUAUGCUGGUGGCUUCGGUUACCAUGCGUAUGGGAUGGCCGGGUGGUCAAGGAGAGCAAGGGUGGUGUCUGUGCAACUUGAGAAGGCAGCGAGCGGCGAGUGGCAAGGCGUGAAGUCUAUCAACACAUGGAAGAGGCUUGAUGAUCAACAUCUCACCACAAUUGACUCUGAGGUGUUAUGGAACAGAAGCUCUAAUAGUUGAGGUUGACAGGGAGGCGCCAGAAGAACAAUGAUGGAAGCGGAUCUUGUCUGUUGUUGAUGCGCAGCUUAUCUUGAAGAGUUUGUAACUACGUGAAUGAACACACACCGCAUGCCGCAUGUAUACGCAAAGUUUUCACCAUUAUUAUUUUUCAUGUCAAGAAAAAAAAUUGGACCAUGAAUGGAUCUAAUGUAACGCAGUAAAGAUGACACUCUUUGCAAUUGAGCUCAUAUGUCAAAUGGAAAUGAGAAUACCAAUGCCAAUGCAGCCUUUAUUUUU
rnacentral:rRNA from 1 species